rnacentral:rRNA from 1 species
GACGAACGCUGGCGGCGUGCUUAACACAUGCAAGUCGAACGCAGUGGCGAACGGGUGAGUAACGCGUAAUCAACCUGCCCUUCAGCGGGGGACAACAGUUGGAAACGACUGCUCAUACCGCAUACUGAAGGAGGGGAUUGCGUCUGUUUAGCUAGUUGGAGGGGUAACGGCCUACCAAGGCGAUGAUCAGUAGCCGGUCUGUGAGGGUGAACGGCCACAUUUGGACUUAGACACGGCCCAGACUCCUACGGGAGGCAGCAGUGGGGAAUCUUCCGGAAGUGAAGAAAGGCUGACGGGGCAACGCCGCGUUGGUGAUGGCGGCCUUCGGGUUGUAAAGCUCUGUUAAUCGGGGCGCAGUACCGGAAUAGAAAGCCACGGCUAACUACGUGCCAGCAGCCGCGGUAAUUC